rnacentral:rRNA from 1 species
CUGGGGAGUACGGUCGCAAGAUUAAAACUCAAAGGAAUUGACGGGGACCCGCACAAGCGGUGGAUGAUGUGGAUUAAUUCGAUGCAACGCGAAAAACCUUACCUACCCUUGACAUGUCCGGAAUCCUGCAGAGAUGCGGGAGUGCCCGAAAGGGAAUCGGAACACAGGUGCUGCAUGGCUGUCGUCAGCUCGUGUCGUGAGAUGUUGGGUUAAGUCCCGCAACGAGCGCAACCCUUAUCAUUAGUUGCUACGCAAGGGCACUCUAAUGAGACUGCCGGUGACAAACCGGAGGAAGGUGGGGAUGACGUCAAGUCCUCAUGGCCCUUAUGGGUAGGGCUUCACACGUCAUACAAUGGUCGGUACAGAGGGUUGCCAAGCCGCGAGGUGGAGCCAAUCCCAGAAAGCCGAUCGUAGUCCGGAUUGUUCUCUGCAACUCGAGAGCAUGAAGUCGGAAUCGCUAGUAAUCGCGGAUCAGCAUGUCGCGGUGAAUACGUUCCCGGGUCUUGUACACACCGCCCGUCACACCAUGGGAGUGGAAUCUGCCAGAAGUAGGUAGCCUAACCGCAAGGGGGG